rnacentral:rRNA from 4 species
CUCGGACCGCGACCCCAG